UUUUAUUAGGAAAUAGUUUAUGAUCCCAAAUGGAUAGCUGCACAUAUUCAUGCUAUCUGUUUUAACUAUUUUCUUGGUCUAUUUUAACUAUCAAUCUUCAAUCAACACAUAAAGAGAGACUGGCAUGCGAAGAAAUACAAGAACUCUGUAAUGUGUUUGUGCAAUAUUAAGAUGCUAGCUCAGUAAGAUGAUUCGAUAUUUGUUACUUUUGUACCGAUAUAUUUAUGUUGUUUUAGUCACCAUGUGACAUUCUACAAGCAAGACAUCAUGUAGUGUCUUUGUUUCAGGUCUUUAACCAUAUUUGGAGGGUAAUUUAUUCCGUUUACCGCAUGUGAAAGUAAAUAUUGCUUUAAUUAUGACUUCAUGCUGAUGCAUUGUAUAGUACUUCACAGUCCCGACCCUAUAAUAGUUUUUUUCAUAGAUUUUUUUGUAGAUUGCUAUUUUAUUAAAUUUUACUGUAACAGAAAAAUUAGCAUUCUUUCUGAUUUCUAAAAUAUUUAUUAUUGGCAGAUUUUAACUUUCUCUCAAUGCCUAUAAAACCCUCGCCAUUUCAAAAUGAAAUAACUAAAUUUUGGAUAUGAUGCUACAAAUUAAGCAAAUAAACUAAGAAAUUCUGUAAUAUUUUUUAUGUUUGUGUGUACCCAGCAACAUUUAAUAUUUAGAUAGAAAGACCAAAUUUGCAUAUGAAGAAAAGAGUAGUACAUCCUGAAUCUUUGUAUUUGAGUGUGAAACAACUUUUGUCAUGAAACUUGAAGGUACCAAACCAUGAUUUGAUAGGAAUUCAGGUUUAUAUUUUCCAAUUUAUAAAAAUUUAUGCUUGAUUUCAAGAGUUAGUGUCCUCUCUCAUCUGAGGUAAAAUGUGGAUAACAGCAAUCUAGGGAAAACACUUUUAAUAAUAUUUGUGGCACUUUGCUUGGUUGACUUACACGUCUGUCUAAGGAGCAUUUCUCCUUGGCUAUUGUUUUAAGCCUGUCUAUUAUUUUAAGCUCUUAGCUACAAAGCAUUUUUCCUUGGUUGUACAAUAUUUUCCAAGUGUCUUUAAAUGAGUUCCAUCGAUAACUUUCUAUCCCCAGAGGUGUCGAAGAACAUAACAGUCAUAGCUAUCUUUCUUAAAACUCUUUCUAUCGUAUUCUUUCCUCCCUUUGUAUCAUUUUCUCUUCUAGGAAAAGCUUUAAAAACACACACUACGAAUUUUCAGUAUGGCAUUGUCAGAAAAAUCCGUUUAGGGGAUGAUUACUCAUUAAAAAAUAAGAGAAAGUGCCUUUUCCUUAUUUUUUCUUGAAGGAGUUUAUCGUUAUCUAUUCUGUUUUUCUACCAUUCCUUGCUAUUUUGGUGUCUCUACAGAAAUGCUUUUAUUUCUGGAUCAAUUAUGCUAUGUGUGGUUUUCUUUUUAGUUCAACUGGAGAUUCGCUUCAUACUUCAUGAACACAAAUACGAUGUUGCUUGCAUUGUUGUUUAAUUUAUAAAUGAACUUAUGACUUCUUAAAAGAAAUUAAGUUGCCUAAAUUGGUAAACAUUGCAAGUACAUGAAACUUUUGUCAAAUGCGGACUUGACAAAUGUAGGCAAAAUUCGCAGAAGACUGUAUUCCUAAAAUCUUCGGUCCUUCCUUUCAAUCAAAUGAAGUAAAAAUUCUCUUUUAACUACCAUUUUCAAUUUUAUGCAAGUUGUAUUUGCAUCUUAUCCUUCUUGAUGUACAUGGUUGAAAUUUGAUAAGUGCUUCUAUAUAUUUGGCAUAACCUAGAGGUUUUUGCAUCUCAUGUAAUGCUACCAAAGCUUCUUUCUUAAAACCUGGAUUUGAUUAUUUCUUGCUUUUUAACUCCUUUCUUUUAUCUACACUUUUUUGUCCUCUGAUUGGUCAUAUCAUGUUUCUCUUGUUUUAAUUGUCCCUCAUGUUCCUGGUCCUUUUUUUUCAUAGAAAAGUAUUCUGAAUUUAUUUAUUCAACCUUUUAUCCUUUUCUACUAAGAAUUCUCUCUUUCAGUUCUACUUUCAACUUUACAGCUUUACAUAUUUCUAUGUUAUAUAGUAGUGAGAAAUCUUCUAAAUCUUUAUUAUUUCAAACAUAAAAUGUAAAAGCAUUCUUACAUGGAAUUGUUGCUGAGAUGGAUUUUUUAAUCCAGAAUUACUUAUUGAUCUUGUUACGAGAAAUGAUUACAGAUCUAGAUGGAACCAUUGCUCAAUGCAAGAUUAAUCAGGGUAGGAGCUUGCUUUCAAGAGAAACUGCAGUAAAUGGAGAAUAGAAAGAACUUUCUCUCUUACACAAAUUCUUGAAGAAGUCCGCCCAUGUACCCGAUUCUGUUAAAUAGAAUAGAAGUACCUAUGGUUUUUUCUCAGUUGUUGAAGUCCGUUCUUUUCAAAAAGUACUGGCGCAUCUGGAACAAGAAUUUUGAGGUGUAUUUGGAAGAGCAAAACAACACCAAAGUUAAUUUUCUUGGAGUGGACUACAUGUCAUAAUGACCUAACUCGAGCAAACCUUUCACAUGCUGGUGAAAUCAUAUGCUUAAGAUGUUAGGUGUGCUUAAAGGAAGCUGAAGUCCAUUUGUUCUUCCAUGUAUCAUUGUUUCUUAGCUUUAUUGCAUGUUCUUGGAUUAUAGAAGUAACAAUAGCUGGAUGGGCAAGAAAGUAAAGACCAUGUCAAAAACAUAUGGAAUACAAUUCCGACCUGCAUUUUUUAAGUAGUUUUAUGUGCAAUAAAACUUUGUAUUUACCUACCAAAAGAAAAUCAUGAAACUCUUAAGAAUGUGUUGAACACAUGAUUAUAUUUUUUCAAGGAAGUUGACCCAU
rnacentral:lncRNA from 1 species